rnacentral:tRNA from 1 species
GGGAAAAUGGCUGAGUGGUUAAAGGCAACAGAUUGUAAAUCUGUCGACGUUUGUCUUCAUAGGUUCGAAUCCUGUUUUUCCCA